AUUGAACUCUGGCGGCAGGCCUAACACAUGCAAGUCGAGCGAGUGGCGGACGGGUGAGUAAUGUAUGGGAAUCUGCCUGAUGGAGGGGGAUAACUACUGGAAACGGUAGCUAAUACCGCAUACCAUCAGAUGAACCCAUAUGGGAUUAGCUAGUUGGUGGGGUAACGGCUGACCUAGGCGACGAUCCCUAGCUGGUCUGAGAGGAUGAUCAGCCACACUGGGACUGAGACACGGCCCAGACUCCUACGGGAGGCAGCAGUGGGGAAUAUUGCACAAUGGGCGCAAGCCUGAUGCAGCCAUGCCGCGUGUAUGAAGAAGGCCUUCGGGUUGUAAAGUACUUUCAGUGGGGAGGCGUUACCGACAGAAGAAGCACCGGCUAACUCCGUGCCAGCAGCCGCGGUAAUAC
rnacentral:rRNA from 1 species